UACAGAGGGGGCAAGCGUUGUUCGGAAUUACUGGGCGUAAAGGGCGCGUAGGCGGCCCGCUAAGUCGAACGUGAAAUCCCCGGGCUCAACCCGGGAACUGCGUCCGAUACUGGCAGGCUUGAAUCCGGGAGAGGGAUGUGGAAUUCCAGGUGUAGCGGUGAAAUGCGUAGAUAUCUGGAGGAACACCGGUGGCGAAGGCGGCACCCUGGCCCGGCAUUGACGCUGAGGCGCGAAAGCCAGGGGAGCAAACGGG
rnacentral:rRNA from 1 species